UAUGGCCACAUCACAUUGAAACACUAGUUCCCAUAUGAUCACCAAAGUUAAGCAAUGUUGAACCUGGUAGUACUGAGAUGGGUAACUGUUUGGGAAUACUAGGUGCUGUAAG
rnacentral:rRNA from 1 species